AUUGAACGCUGGCGGCAUGCUUUACACAUGCAAGUCGAACGGUAACAGGCCGCAAGGUGCUGACGAGUGGCGAACGGGUGAGUAAUGCAUCGGAACGUGCCCAGUCGUGGGGGGUAACUACUCGAAAGAGUAGCUAAUACCGCAUACGAUCUAUGGAUGAAAGCGGGGGACCGUAAGGGCUCGCGCGAUUGUAGCGGCCGAUGUCAGAUUAGGUAGUUGGUGGGGUAAAGGCUCACCAAGCCAACGAUCUGUAGCUGGUCUGAGAGGACGACCAGCCACACUGGGACUGAGACACGGCCCAGACUCCUACGGGAGGCAGCAGUGGGGAAUUUUGGACAAUGGGCGCAAGCCUGAUCCAGCAAUGCCGCGUGCAGGAAGAAGGCCUUCGGGUUGUAAACUGCUUUUGUACGGAACGAAACGGCUCUGGUUAAUACCCGGGGCUAAUGACGGUACCGGAAGAAUAAGCACCGGCUAACUACGUG
rnacentral:rRNA from 1 species